rnacentral:misc_RNA from 1 species
AGGACUCAUAGCUGGUUCAGCGUCGCGUGUAAUAAUAACGGGUGGUUUAGGUUUAUUCUUAGAACCAGGGGGUCUGCCCCUGGGCCGGCGAACAACUUCGAUGGUAGCACCAUCAGUGCCAGCACUGCUAUUGGGUUCGGUGGGUUUCUGUUUCUGGAUUGGGGUGGCGUUGAUAGGGGUUGUGGUGGUGGUCGUGGUCGUGGUGGUGUUGGUGUUAGGAGAAAGGGUAGCUACGGCGGGGGGACCGGGGGUUCU